rnacentral:rRNA from 1 species
GAAACCAACAGGGAUUGCCCCAGUAACGGCGAGUGAAGCGGCAAGAGCUCAAAUUUGAAAUCUGGCCUCCUCCGGGGGUCCGAGUUGUAAUUUGCAGAGGAUGCUUCGGGUGCGGCCCCCGUCUAAGUUCCUUGGAAUAGGACGUCAGAGAGGGUGAGAAUCCCGUCUUGGGCGGGCGGCCCGCGCCCGUGUGAAGCUCCUUCGACGAGUCGAGUUGUUUGGGAAUGCAGCUCUAAGCGGGUGGUAAAUUUCAUCUAAAGCUAAAUAUUGGCCGGAGACCGAUAGCGCACAAGUAGAGUGAUCGAAAGGUUAAAAGCACCUUGAAAAGGGAGUUAAACAGCACGUGAAAUUGUUGAAAGGGAAGCGCUUGCGGCCAGACUCGGGGGCGGGGUUCAGCGGGCGCUCGUCGCCCGUGCACUCCCCGCGCCCCGGGCCAGCAUCAGUUUCGACGGUCGGUCAAAGGCCCCCGGAAUGUGUCGUCUCUAGGGACGUCUUAUAGCCGGGGGUGCAAUGCGGCCCGUCGGGACUGAGGAACGCGCUUCGGCUCGGAUGCUGGCGUAAUGGCCGUAAGCGGCCCGUCUUGAAACACGGACCAAGGAGUCUAACAUCCACGCGAGUGUUCGGGUGUCAAACCCGUGCGCGCAGUGAAAGCGAACGGAGGUGGGAGCCUUUGGGCGCACCAUCGACCGAUCCUGAAGUCUUCGGAUGGAUUUGAGUGGGAGCGUGGCCGUUGGGACCCGAAAGAUGGUGAACUAUGCCUGAAUAGGGUGAAGCCAGAGGAAACUCUGGUGGAGGCUCGCAGCGGUUCUGACGUGCAAAUCGAUCGUCAAAUUUGGGCAUAGGGGCGAAAGACUAAUCGAACCAUCUAGUAGCUGGUUCCUGCCGAAGUUUCCCUCAGGAUAGCAGUGACGAGAUUCCAGUUUUAUGAGGUAAAGCGAAUGAUUA